CUUAAUUCUCAGAGGUUAAGAAAACAUUUAUUCUUUUAAAAAGUCACAUUUGUUUACUUUUGGGAGAAGAGUUCAAUUUUAGAAAUUCAAUACCAUGGCUUCCUAUUGACUUAUGCUUCAUCUUUGUAGCCAAGCACGUGUCCAAAUGACCAACAGGCUCAUAGUUCCACAUCCUUGUGUCCACCUUCUAAUGACGUAACCGCUGAUGGCUCCUCCAGCUUAUCUGGGGUGUGGGUGAGCCCAGGAAUCACUGCUCAUUCACAAUGCCCACACCCAGAAUUAUCCACUAUACAGGUAAUGUUGGAGCUUGUUCUCAGUUUGGAAUGUGCUGUAUGUAGCAAUGUACUUGAUCUGCUCUUUUCUAGGAAAUGGAGUCAAUUAAUUAAUUGUCUACAUUCAUGUUAAUGUUUCGUAUAAUUACAGGUAACAUUAAGGCAAUUUAUGGUAAGUCCCUGUUUUCAAAGAGCUAAUGUUCUAGUUUGGAAUUAAAUUUACAAUAGAUAGAAAGCAUAUAUGAAAGAAAGUCAAAGAAAAACAUGUAAGGUACAAAUGCACAGUUGGGAAGUGGUAGGGGAACAUACAUAUUGGUCCUCUAAGGUUUAAGUCACUAAUCACACUCUCAUAGAAAACUCUCCUAUUUAAAGCUUAUGGAUCUGACUCUGUUGGUGAUUACCUUAUUUUCUUAGACAGUUGCAACUUCUGAACCUGUGUAUGGAAUCUUAUUUAACUUUCAUGUGACCUUAUAUGAUGAUCUUGACAUAGAAGUCUAUCUUCUCUGAAGCUUCUGCACCAGCUUUGGAGUCUAGGCUGAGUUCUUCUUGGUUCCUAACCUCACAUCUGGUUGACAGAACUAACUUUUCCUCAUGACUGGCUUUAGCUUUUAUAUAGCAACUUGACCUUGACUAUAAAUCAUUGAUUUCAUUAGACCAUUUGGUUGGGUUUUGUGAAAUUUCUACUUAUCCCUGCUUAAUCUUGCUGUAGAGGCUCAGAAGAGUUUGAGUCUUUCUUGAUCCUGGAUUAAAACUAUCAACUCUUUAUAUUGCUUCUGGGGCAAUGUGAAAGAAUGAAUGAAGUCAAUAGGAUGUAGUUAUAAAAUGCUUCUUUUAUGUUUGUAGAGGUUAUUAAGUCAUAUUAACCAUAGAAUUGAAAGAUAACAAUGGUCUACUGGUUCUUAAUGCUAACUGCAUGAUAGAAUCACCUGGAAACUGUUUAAGACAUGCCAGUGCUUCAGCUGCACUGUAGACCAAUUAAAUAAGAAGCUGGGGGUGGGUGCCAUGAAGUUAUAGUUUUUAAAAACUUCUCAGAUGAAUCUGAUGUGAGCCAGAGAUAAAAAUGACUGAUGCAGGUGUCUUCCAUCAUUAAGUCACAGGGGAAACCUGCCCAAAGAGAGUCAAGAGACUUCCAGAAUCCACCUAGGUCUUGUUUUCAAGGUGCCAAAACAGGAGAGGAGGUUGGGUUUUCCAUUGUUUGUGUGCAAUUUACUUCAUGAAAGUCCUCAAGUGUGUUUAAGGCAGUGUUAGAGGCUCCUACCUGAUGUACAUAACCUUCAGUUAUGUAAUUAUUAAAAGUACAGAAUCAUUAAUAAAAUACGUCACUAAUUUACAUUUUUCAGAUUUUCCCAAGAUUUACUAUUUUCCCCAAGAUAUGCUAUUUUCUUAUUAACUAAUGCCAAACUAUGUAACCAGACUCUAAGUCUCCUAACCAAUCAUUAACCUAAAGUACACUUGCACUUUAUUUCUAAUCUAAAAUUCCCAUCUAAAAAAGUCCCCUUAAAUCUUAUAUUUAAAACAUCCUAAAGUUUAUAAAUAUUCUCAAAACAUAUCAGAAACCUAUACAACUAAAAACUUAAGAAUUUUUAAACUUAAGAAUCUAAAUAAAAUAAUAUUUCUAACAUUCUUCUAAAACUGUGUCUUAUAAAGCUAUUUUAAUUAAUUCCUAAAUUUAUUCUCAUAAAACUGGUUGAGCUGCUUUCUCAAAGAGUUUCUUUGUUUCUCAGUCAAGGUGCACUAGUUCUCAUAUCUUUAUAAUCUUUCUCAAUAGAAAGUAAGUUCUAAACAUCAAUCCACUUUCCACCAAUAUUAACUAUGCUCAUCAUAUAUCCCUAUGUAAAGUAAGAAAGGGUUUAUAAAAAGAGAAGAAUAUAUCUUUAUAUGUUUUAACUUUCCUAAGUGUAUAAUAUAACUUUCCUUAAUCAAAAAUGAGACUGCAUGGGGUGAACUUUGUAAAAUAAGCAUAAUGAUUAGAUUUUCUAAGAGGCAGGAAAUAUGGGCUUGGGUUCUAGUUGAUAUAAUCAAUGUGGUGCCUAAAAUUCUCAUGACCUUUCAAAGGAUGAUUGUUGUCCAUUAUCAGAUUUGUCCACAAUAUACUGAGAUAGAAGAACAGCCUUCUACUUUGUCCUUGAUAUGCUGAGGGGUAGUAGAACAGCCUCCAAGGCAUGAACUUCCUGUUAUGUUCUAGCCAUCUGAAAUUUAAUUUGUUUGGCUUUUAACAUACUCAUGCCUCCUGUCAGAAACAUAAGCAUGAAAAUGAAAAGUCCCAGUUACAUAAAAAAGGGUCUCAUGGUUUCGACUUCCCACCAACCAGUGUGGCUUUGCCAGCGUUCAUCCUCACUGUGACCCUGUCAAGACAGUGGGAGAGCGGCUUGGCCAGCACUUUUUCUCACUGUGACCCUGUCAAUACAGUGAGUGGGGGAUCGCCUUCACCAAAGGCUGAAAGUGGGUAAUGAGCCCCCCAAAGGAACCGAUGAUUCUGGGGAGUUUGGAAGACACAAAAGAGAAUGGAGUGUCUCAGAAGCAAAAAGAAAGACAUGUUGUAAAACAGAGGAGAAGGGAUGGUGUCCAGGGGCAAACGCGGUGGAGGACUUCAGUAAGAAGAGCGCUUACACGGGCAUUUAGGCUUUAGUGGAUGAAUAUAAUUGGUGACUAUUUCAGUGGCCUGAUGGGAGCAGAAGCCCAACCGGAUUGGGCUGAAAAGUGUGCCAAUGGAGACACUGCAUUCAAAUGACUCUCAGGAAAUUUUGGUUUUCAGAGAAAGAGAAAGGGUUGUUGGAGGGUGAUUUGGAAUCAAAGGAGUUUUUUUUCUUUUUCUUUUUUUCUGUAAAGUAGCUUUUGUUUCUUUGGUAGUUUGUUUGGAGUGUGAUUAAAUGUGGAAAGUGGUGAAGAAAUUCUAUCCAGGGUAAUCAAAAGAGAAAAUCUGCUGGGAAGGGCACAGGGGAUGGAACCCAAAAGACAGGUUGGAGCACCAGCUUCAGAUGGUAGAGGAUAGCUCUUCUGUCAACCAAGAAAGAGGUGAAGUCCAGGUAGCUUAGGUUUGCAGGUUUGGUAGUUGGUGGAGUUUUCAUUUGAUGGGUUCAAGUUUUCCAAUGAAGUAGGAAGGAGGGAAGAGGAAAGCCAUUUGAUUGGAAUGGGGAGGGAUGAUUUGUGCACGGGGAACGAUGGGUGGAGGUUACAGGUUUGAAGAGUGAGAAGAAGACUGAGGACGUACUUGAGAUUUGAGGGAGUAUCUUGAUCCAAGAUCUGUAAGGGGGUGUCAGAGCAAUGCAAAAAAUCCUCUUGAGGAGGGGAUCUGCCCAGGUGCUUGGCUUUUCACAACAGUGUGACUGCUCCAAAGUCCAGAGAAAGUAAAUCAUCAUUUAUUUGCCAGCCAGCGGAGAUGAAAAGAGGGAAAUACAAGAGACUUCAGGGAAUCACCAAGAGUGCUAUUAAAUAAUGGAACAAAAUGUGGACAAGGAAAGAUGUAGUGAAGUACUAACCACUGAACCAAAGGUUUUUUUUUUUUUUAAUCAAACUAAAGAAAGGUCAUCAUGGAAUGGCUGGGUGAACAAGCUGGAGAGAGAGGACAUGGUGGUUAGGAGACAAAAUUCUUGAGGAAGUGAUAGAUAUUGGAAGUGGAGCAGGGUUUGGCAUUGAGUGGAGGAUCAAGUGUGUGAAAGAGAAUUUACCAUUUAAAAAUAUUUGUCUGCCCACAUGAAAAGUCAACGGACAGUGAUGGAGGAGGAAGGAAUAAGUAGAGCAUGGGUGAUUUUUAAGGCAGUGAAACUACUUUGUAUAAUGUUGGAUAUAUGUCAUUACGUGUUAUACAUUUAUAUUUUUCCAAAUCCAUAAAGUGUUCCAUACCAAGAGUGAAUCUUAGCAUAAACUAUGGACUCUGGGUGAUAAUUAGUUGCCAAUGUGGAUUCAUCACACAUAACAAAUGAACCACGGUGCAGGAUAUCGAUAAUGGGGGAAGUUAUGUACCUGCAGGGGAAGGGUGUGUGUAGAUUAUCUAUAUACACUUGACUCUGUUUUCCCCUGGAUCUAAAAUAGCCCUAAUACAUAAGGUCUAUUAAAAUAAAACAAACAAACAAAAAAGGAAAAUAGAAUAACAGAAGAGAUAUUGGCAGAUUUGUCUUUUUUCUAAUGUCCGGGAAAGCAUGGCGUUUCUUCCACCUGGAUGAACAUCUGGAUGUUUUUAAAGUCUAAACUCCAGAGUCAUAUAGUGAUUAAAACAAAGUCAAUACAAUACAUUGUAAGUUGUAAGUAGCACAAAAAGGAUGACCCAUUGCAAACAUUUUUGUCUUUAUAAGUGAUAUUUUGAUUCACACUCUUCUUAGGUGAAAGGAAAUAGCGGCAGUGACUGGUCUCUGUGGAAAGUUUUCCUGGUCUGCCUCUUAGCCUGUGCGAUAACAACAGCAAUUGGAGUCCUCGUAAUAUGCCUGGUGAAUAAUCGAGGAAGUAAUUCCUCCGUUGUUAUCCAGCUACCCACAAACAGUGGAGGGGUGGUAGAUAGGGAAUCUGGAACAGCCUCUACUACUUCCCAACCUACAGUGACCACCACUUCAACUGAACCUUCAACUAUCACCACUUCAACAGAAUCUACAACCACAACGGUCACAACCAGUUCUUCAACUCAGCCUUUAACCACAGCACCCCUCACCACAACUUCAAGUAGAACCAGAUAUAUCACCACUGCCACAGAAUCCAUGGGUACGGUGGCUCCUCCAUAGCUAUUAUUUGAAGAGCCACAACCAUCACUUCAUAGGAAUCUACCCUCUCUACCCGACAACCUAGCUCACAACCACAGCAGCUACUCCUACCCCUUGAAGUUGAACAACAGCUGGUGCCACUUUAUCAGACUUGCUGUUGUGACUUCAUAGCACCAAAUGCUAGUGAAACUGAUGCUUAGCUGACAGCCAGAUCCUCACCUCCACCAUCUUUUCAACGAAACCCAUGGCUACCUGUGCUUCAAGUGAAAGUACAGCUACUACCACAUCCACUUAACCUACAACUACAGGAACUUCUACUUACUCUACAAUAAGUGUUGAUUACCCUCACUAGGAAUCACAAAUGCCGCCAUUAACAUUUUAACCUUAACUAAGUUACUAUCAGUCACCAGAACAAUCUCUUCUAUCUCAUUAACCUUUAGUCAUUACAACUACAAAUUAGCCUAAAAUUAUUCCCCACAUUGACUUUUCUGAGAAUUUAUAUUGGACUACUUCUUCUACAGGAGCUGAAUCUGUAUCAUUGCCAUUACUAAGUUACCAUGAUGCCACCAUGGACCAUGGAUAAUGGAAUAAUUACCCCAAUUUUUAUGAAGUCAACAAUUAGGAUUUAUAAAAUUAUUAAAACUGUUUUAGAAUAAUAGCAGUUAAGCUAUAAGAAUCUGAUCUUGGUUCUCUAGUUCCAAAUAAUAUAUAGCUUUAUAUAAAAAAGUGACUAUUUGUUUGCUAGAAAUCAUCCUGAGAUUUUAUAUAAAAUGUUAUACUAAAAUUAGCCAUUUGGAUUUUAAUAUAUAUUGGUUUCAGUUCAGAACGUUGCAUUUCUGUGUACACAAAUUACAUGCAUAAUGAACAGGGAUUUCAUAUGCAGGGGAUUUAAACAAAUUUAUACAGAAAAAUGUUAGAAUUUAUAACAAUUAUUUCUUCUAGGGUGAAUUUUGUUAUGUUUUUUUCAAUUUCUGUUUAUAUUGUAACUUGCUUUUAAUCAAUCAUAUUCAUUUUUGGACUAAUAUUACUAAAAGUGCAUUUGGGUUUUUAAAUUUGUAUUUUAAAUUACUUUCUGCAAUAUUGUAAGUCACUCAAUUGACAUUUCUUGAGUCACGGCUGGGUACUACAGCACUGAAAAGGUAUACCAGAAGAAAAGAAAAUGCACAUUAACUAAUAAAUUCAUUAAUUUAGAGUGUUAAUAUUUAAUUCUUAAUGACUUUGGAAGGUUUGAAUUAGAACUGAUAAUGAUGCAGACUUUCUAAAUCAGGAUCUUAGAUUGUAACUAGUAAUCUGUACUUAAAAAACUGUAUUGAUAUUUAUAAUAUUCAGGGAGUUUGAGAAUUAAAGAUUCAAAGGUCGUAGUCUUAUAAUGACAUUAGUUAGAGUGGUGUACAUUAAAAUUAAAAAUGUUAAAAUCAGAACUGUGUUCCAAGCAGGCAAGAAAGAGAAUUACAGAAUUAUAGAUCUAGGUAAGCUCCAAAUCAUCUUCAGCAAUUUAGUGAGGCCCAAAGCAACUUAGCAAGACCCUGUCUCAAAAUGAUAUAUAAAAAAGGUUGAAGAUAUGGAAUGGUAAAGCAUCCCUGUGUUCAACCCCUGGUACCAGAAGGAAAAAAAAACACCUAAAAACUCUAUGUAUAAAAACUUAUUUAGAAAAUGGUAAUUCCAAGUAAGAAAUGAACUAUCUAGGAACAUGUCAAGGAACAUGAGAUCAAUAGGGGAAUGUUUCAUUUACCAAAUAGCAAAGAAAUAUUUUUAAGACAAAUCUUAAAUUUUAAGUUUCUCUGAAAAUCUUAAAGUACUUGUUUUUUUUACCAUUGGACCUAAGGGAAUAUUUUCUUAUAUAUGCUUAAAAGUAAUGACAUUUUAUAACUACUUAAUUUGAAUUUUUAAUAAUUACACAUUGGCUUUCUCUUCCUUUCUUAAUGUUUGGAUUAAGAAUAUUUUUUGAGAUAUUUAAAACAUCAGUGACUAGAUAGUUCAUUUCUUACUUGGAAUUACCAUUUUCUAAUCCUUUCACAGUUCUGCUAGUCACAAGAAUGAUAAAUAAUUUGAAAUGCAUUCAUUUG
rnacentral:lncRNA from 1 species